CAAAGUUGGAGGUUUGUCAUGGAAUGUGGGGAGCUAUCAACAAGUUGCUCAAUGACUUCAAACAAUAUCAAGCCGCAAAUAAUUCAUGAUGCAACAGUUUUGAGGUGUGCAAUGAUAACACAAAUCAUUGAUGAAGGUGCUGGUACUUUGGGGCAAGUCUUUGGUGAGGAAGAUGAACAUGAGAUAAUAUCUAAGGCAACGAAGGAAAA
rnacentral:lncRNA from 1 species